GGAAAGUAUUCAUUUGCUUUCCUUCGGUGCCCUGGGGACAGGGAGGCUGCUGACUGAGAGGCCUGGGAAACCACCACCAUAGCAGACGAAAGUGAAUCAGUGAGAAGGACAUUUACCCAGUGGAGAGUCUUGAAAAUGCAUCCACGGAUAGCCCUCCUGUCCGCCUUCACUGUUUCCUCCCUACGCUAAGAGCCAUUUCCUCUGUGUGGGAGAUGACAGAAUAUCUCAUUAUGUGUCUGAAUGUACCAGGCAGUCUACUGAACAGUGUGUUCUACAUAUCUCAAUCCAGUUCACUAUGACACACAGAGUUCGUCACCAA
rnacentral:lncRNA from 1 species